AGAGAGAGACAUGCGCGCAUAUCAAUAAGCGGAGGAAAAGAAACUAACAAGGAUUCCCCUAGUAACGGCGAGUGAAGCGGGAAGAGCUCAAAUUUGAAAUCUUAAAGGGUUUCCCUUUACGAAUUGUAGUUUAAAGAAGUGUUUUCUGUUGAGGUUUUGGUAAAAGUUCUUUGGAAUAGGACAUCAUAGAGGGUGAGAAUCCCAUAUUUGACCUUUACUUUCAACUUUGUGAUACACUUUCAAAGAGUCGGAUUGUUUGGGAAUGCAGUCCAAAAUGGGUGGUAAAUUUCAUCUAAAGCUAAAUAUUGGCGAGAGACCGAUAGCGAACAAGUACCGUGAGGGAAAGAUGAAAAGAACUUUGAAAAGAGAGUUAAACAGUACGUGAAAUUGUCAAAAGGGAAGCGUUUGACACCAGUGUUGUUUUUCUGAAAAUCAAUUAAAGAACUGUUUAUGCUAAGUUGUUUAGACUUUAUCAGCUAACUGUUUAGUUUUGAGCUUUUCUUUAAUGCACUUUUCAGUUAACAAGUCAACAUCAAUUUCUUUUGCUGUAAAAAAGCUUGAGGAAGGUGGCUUGAGAUUCGUCUUAAGUGUUUAUAGCCUCUUGCCUAUGCAGUCGGAGAGAUUGAGGUCUGCAGCGUAGAUCCUUCGGGGCUAAAUGCAUUUGUGCUAAGUUAUAGCAUUUUAUAGACAACUUGUUGACUAUGAUUUGUCUUGUAGCUUACUCGCUUAUGUUAUUUUACCUACGCUUAGGAUGUUGAGCGCAUGUCUCUCUCU
rnacentral:rRNA from 1 species